UCCGGCAUGGUGUAGUGGCUAGCAUUAUCGCCUCUCACGCGAUAGACCGGGGUUCAAUUCCCCGUACCGGAA
rnacentral:tRNA from 1 species